GUUUCUUUCCUUUUCCCCUAGAAAUCUAAGGUGAUAUGAUGUGGUAUCUGAUGAUGUUUCAAAUGUGCAUCUAAAUAUGGUGACACAGGUAAGAGAGAAUUAGGAAAAGGAGAGAAGUGACCUACGUGAUCUUGUAAUACUGACUACAUGAUCUUGUAAUACUGAUUAUAUAUAUCUACUGCUGAAGACGUAUUAUUUGAUGUAUUGUUCUCCCAUAUGGAAAUUACAUGGGCCGCUUUGUUAGGUAGGGAAGAAUCUCCAUGUUCUUAGUCAGAUAGAAGGUGUGGACCUUGAAACGUACAGAAACACUGUUGUUUAGAGCAGCUUUGAUCAUGUAGGUCUUGUCUCAUAGGUUUCUUUCCUUUUCCCCUA
rnacentral:misc_RNA from 1 species